AAGACAGACAUCUGAGUGCUUAUUUCACCUGUAACAUGGGCCUGGAAGAUUGGCAUGAGUUGUUAAAAUAACGUGUGUCCACUACAAUGCCAGCCACAGGUUAGUACUUACGGAAGGUCAGCCAUGGUUUCAGGAACAUAGCGAUCAACACAGCAAAACCUCUACACUCUGGAGUCUUCCUUCUGGAGAGCAGAAGAGGGUAUUAAUGACUGCUGUGAACAGUAAUACCAAAUAAUAGUAAUUGAAGGAAAAUUUUAAUCUGUGAACAAUUCUUUUCAAUUAUCAAUAUCUCUUUUCAGUCAGUAUUUGCAGCCUCUGCCUCAUCAAAUAUUCUCUUCAGAAAAAUGGGGGACACAGCAGAAGAGUUGAGUCCCAGGCCUGGUUCUACAGACCUGAGCGAAUACGAAACCUUGCUGGGCCUCCCUCUGCUCAGUAAGUGGUGAUCACACGGCCUCCAAGCAGGCGGUGAGGCUCUUAGUAAAAUGGGAACAUUUUAUCAUUGUGUAAAUGUAAGGCUCUUUGUGUAAAUGUGUAGUAAUCUCUUUAGGCAAAUCUUUUUAUUGGAAGUGGACAUUCUCUUUCUUUUUUUUUUUUUUUUAAUCUCUCCACCCCCAGUCUUUGACUCAAGAUUUUAAAGAUUGCUAUUAAAAGACAAGUGUGUUAGCACAUUAAGAUACUAUCAGGUAGCAGAUAACUUUUAAAAAGUUAAUUACUCAAAUUUGUCCCAGUAGAUGGAACUGUGAUGCCUUGGGGCACCGUGAGGCUUUGCAUAAUGGGAAGAAGGGUUUCGGGAACGCCCGGUCCUUGGCUCUUGGUGCUUAAUACAAAAACAAAAGAAAACCAACAAAACCCUGUGCAGAAAGGACCCUCGAGACAAACGCUCUUUGCAGUCUCGCCUUGGGCUUGUGUAAUUCACCGUCUGGAGAACGGCACAAAAUAUGUGGAUGAGCAGGACCCGAAGUCAGUAGGACAUGCUGGAACGCGCAUCACUCUCUCACUGCCUGCAAGCGUCCAACCUCAAUGAUGUGAGGGACCAGUAGAAGAUGGUGUCCUUCAUCAUGGAGGUAAAUGCAUAAUUGGCCCAGCAGCUGGAGUUGCUAAAGCAGGAUCUGGCGGAAGCUGGAGGAGCUAGGGGCCCAGUCCAAUAAGGAAGGUCAGCCUCGGGUAAGUAUGUGAGCUGCAAGAGAGCCUGCUGCCCUGCAGUGACCUUUCAAACAUGAACAACGUGGCUGUGCCUUUGCUCUUGUCUUCCAAAUCUUUCAAAUCUCUCGGGGUUGGCUAACCUAGAAUUAUGGGAAAUCAGAGACAUGUAGUUUCAGUUAUCUGUUACUGUGGAACAAACUACCCCCAAACCCAUAGCUUAAAACAGGACCAUUCGUUUUAGUUCAGGAAUAUGCAGCUUGGGCAGGGCUCGGUGAGGACAGCUUAUCUGUGCUCCAAAUGGUGUCAGCCAUAGUGGCUCCAUGAACUGGCUGGAGGCGGGCUGGGGACUGGACUCCUCCGAAUGCUGUCCACUGGAAUAGUCAGCACUCUGUGUGGUCUCUCUGGCAUGGCAGCCUUAUGGUAGCUAGACUUUUUACUGGAGAUUCAGGGUGCCAAAGAUAUAUGACUCAAGAGAGAGGGAGAGGGAGCUACAGAGGGAGACAAACAGGAAGAUGGGAUUUCUAUUCUGGUUGUCCUUUAUUAGCUAUGCCACUUUAAGCAGGUCAUUUAUUCUCUCUCAACCUCAGUUCUCAAAUUUUAAAGAUCAGGAUUCACUCUGCCCAGAAGAUGACUCUGAGACAAUAAUUUGAGUGGAAGUAGUUUAUUUGGGAGUUAAUCCCAGGAAGUAUCAGAAGGCAGCUGAGAAGUAUUCAGGGAAGAGAGGAAGCUAGUCACCAGGUAAGUCACCACAGUGGGCAGCUGGAGCUUAAAACCUCUGCGGAACCCUAGGGAAACACUGUAAAAUAUAUACCACAGAGCUAUUUUGUCCAAGGGUUCAGGAUCUGGGAUAUUUAUACAUCAAUGCCCAUCAGUCAUUGGUUGAGGACUCUGGGGAUUAAUUCCUCAGCACUUUUUUUUCCCUUUAAGUUUAUUUAUUUAUUUAUUUAUUUAUUUAUUUAGAGAGCACAAGUGAGAGAUAGCAGAAAGACACAGGGAGAGAGAGAAUCCUAAGCAGUCUCCAUGCUCUGUCAGUGCAGAACCUAACUGGGGCUCCAUCUCAUGAAAUGUGAGAUUAUGACCUGAGCCGAAAUCAAGAGCCAGAAGCUUAACCGACUGAACCACCAGGUGCCCCAAUUUCUCAGCACCUUUGGUCUACUGAGUUCCAUGCAGGUGGGAAAAACCCUUAGACAAAGAGAUACAGGUGCUGUUGGAGGAAAAUGAGCAGAUUUGCAUUGCUGAAGGGAUAUGAACAAGGCAUCAACGGGGUUUGCUACAGAGUAUAGUAGCUGUGUUUUAAGGUUGUUGAGGAAUUAAAAUGAGAUGGUAUUUAAAAAAAAAAUCCACUCCUGGUGUGAUGGCGCCUGUAUUUGCUUUGGCACAGACCAUUGCAGGAUUCAAAGAACGCCCUCAGAGGUCCAGGAGCUUUCAAUACUCACAUCGGGAGACACUGCCAAUUUCCUGAAAGGCAGUCUCAAGAAACGGCAAUAAUAUAAAUGCAUUACCCACCUCCCUUAAUAGACUUCUGCACUGCUUGUUAAAUUCUGUCUUUUCCUCUAAUAACCUGUCACUCUGUGGGAGUUCAGACCUCUCCAGUGGUUCCUCAUAACCCAGUCUCAUCUACACAAGACUUGCUACCUUGGUUAAUCUUACCCAAGCUCCACCCCUUGCAGAUCUCUGCCAUCUUCCUCCCUCCCCCUGCCUAGCCCCUAAAUGUUCUGGAACUCAUGAUCUGGUGAUAUUGUCCAAGAACGGUUGCAAACCCGUGUUAUUAUGAUAUUGGAUUCUUCAGUUCGUGGUCAUUUGAUAGAUAUCUGCGCCUCUCUUAAGGUUUUUGAGCCGAGGAGUGACACAAUCCAAUCUUUGGGAAGAUUCUGGUGUGCAGGAUUAAAAAGAUAGGAAAGAGGGGAAAGCAGAGUCCGUGUGUGUAUGUGUGAAGUUAUUA
ensembl:lncRNA